AGACCAACGGACAAUGUGAUUGGGCUAUAAAUUCACUUAUGUGGGUUUGGGCUCAGGAAAGUCCCCGGGCCCAUUAUCGCAGAGAUGCGGACCUGGAAACAGGUUAAGCUUCGUAGCCAUUUGAAUUCUAGUUGGGCCAGAAAUGGUUUAACGGGCUGAGACCAGUGUGGAGCCUAAAGGAUUCUGAGCUCGAAGUGGGAUUGGCCGAUUAACACAGUCAUUCACAUGGUCACUUGUGACUAACUGAACGGGGCUUAUGAUCCGUUGGUC
rfam:Helianthus annuus linkage group 10, whole genome shotgun sequence.